CUACGCUGCCUAAGGAAAGGGUCUC
rnacentral:piRNA from 1 species